rnacentral:rRNA from 1 species
GACAGAGGUGCCGAGCGUUAGGCGGAAUCACUGGGCUUAAAGCGUGUGUAGGCGGGUCGUUAAGUGUCUUGUGAAAUCCCACCGCUUAACGGUGGAACUGCUGGGCAUACUGGCGAUCUUGAGCCACCUAGGGGCAGACGGAACAAGCGGUGGAGCGGUGAAAUGCGUAGAUAUCGCUUGGAACGCCGACGGUGAAAACAGUCUGCUGGGGGUGUGCUGACGCUGAGACACGAAAGCCAGGGGAGCGAACGGG